AGUGAACGCUGGCGGUAGGCCUAACACAUGCAAGUCGAACGGCAGCACAGUAAGAGCUUGCUCUUACGGGUGGCGAGUGGCGGACGGGUGAGGAAUACAUCGGAAUCUACUUUUUCGUGGGGGAUAACGUAGGGAAACUUACGCUAAUACCGCAUACGACCUACGGGUGAAAGCAGGGGAUCUUCGGACCUUGCGCGAUUGAAUGAGCCGAUGUCGGAUUAGCUAGUUGGCGGGGUAAAGGCCCACCAAGGCGACGAUCCGUAGCUGGUCUGAGAGGAUGAUCAGCCACACUGGAACUGAGACACGGUCCAGACUCCUACGGGAGGCAGCAGUGGGGAAUAGUGGACAAUGGGCGCAAGCCUGAUCCAGCCAUACCGCGUGGGUGAAGAAGGCCUUCGGGUUGUAGAGCCGGUUUGUUGGGAAAGAAAAGCAGGAGGUUGAGACGGCGCUGUUCUGACGGUACCGAAAGAAUAAGCACCGGCUAACUUCGUG
rnacentral:rRNA from 1 species